UACGUAGGGUGCAAGCGUUAAUCGGAAUUACUGGGCGUAAAGCGUGCGCAGGCGGUUUUGUAAGUCUGUCGUGAAAUCCCCGGGCUCAACCUGGGAAUUGCGAUGGAGACUGCAAGGCUAGAAUCUGGCAGAGGGGGGUAGAAUUCCCGGUGUAGCGGUGGAAUGCGUAGAGAUCGGGAAGAAUACCUGUGGCGAAGGCGGCCAGCUGGGCCAGAUCCGACACUGAGGCGCGAAAGCGUGGGGAGCAAACAGG
rnacentral:rRNA from 1 species